GCAGCUUGCUGCUUCGCUGACGAGUGGCGGACGGGUGAGUAAUGUCUGGGAAACUGCCUGAUGGAGGGGGAUAACUACUGGAAACGGUAGCUAAUACCGCAUAACGUCGCAAGACCAAAGAGGGGGACCUUCGGGCCUCUUACCAUCGGAUGUGCCCAGAUGGGAUUAGCUAGUAGGUGGGGUAACGGCUCACCUAGGCGACGAUCCCUAGCUGGUCUGAGAGGAUGACCAGCCACACUGGAACUGAGACACGGUCCAGACUCCUACGGGAGGCAGCAGUGGGGAAUAUUGCACAAUGGGCGCAAGCCUGAUGCAGCCAUGCCGCGUGUAUGAAGAAGGCCUUCGGGUUGUAAAGUACUUUCAGCGGGGAGGAAGGCGAUAAGGUUAAUAACCUUGUCGAUUGACGUUACCCGCAGAAGAAGCACCGGCUAACUCCGUGCCAGCAGCCGCGGUAAUACGGAGGGUGCAAGCGUUAAUCGGAAUUACUGGGCGUAAAGCGCACGCAGGCGGUCUGUCAAGUCGGAUGUGAAAUCCCCGGGCUCAACCUGGGAACUGCAUUCGAAACUGGCAGGCUAGAGUCUUGUAGAGGGGGGUAGAAUUCCAGGUGUAGCGGUGAAAUGCGUAGAGAUCUGGAGGAAUACCGGUGGCGAAGGC
rnacentral:rRNA from 1 species